CAUUGUAACAUCUGGUUGUUAGGAUCAGUACCUAAUUUUAUCACUGUCGUCCAUAACCUAGAGCCUAGCAUGGUGCUGGGCUCAUAGUUACUUAAGUAAAACGACCUGAUUUUGCUGGAUCUGUUUCUUCUUGCGCAGCUCUUCAUGCAGCUGACAGGGAUCAUAUCAGAUGUCUGAAGGUGGCAGGUUCUGAGAAUCUGUGUCCAGAUGGCUGCUGAAGCUUCUACUUCAAGGUUCAAGGGCAGCAGUUCUCAGGAGACCCCAACACUUCACAUCUUUGGCAGGAUCUUAUUUUUGGCUCAGAGGAGGUGUGGACUCUGAGCCUCAGAACAGGAGGUGAUAAAGAGCCAAAUGUGAUGCCCAGUGUGCUAGAUAAUUUGGUGGAGUAAGAAUGAAGAUAUCCCAAAACUGGGAUACUUUGGGUGACCAUGAACAAACACUAUGAUGUCUCCCAGCAAGUCCUUGACCUCCAGAGGCUCUGCUUUGACCCAGCCCAGGUGACUUCAAGACAGCCCCUGGGAGUACACUGGUUCUCACCUGGCCCAAGGCGAGUCCCAGGAAUUCAGGCCAAGUGAGUGGAGACUGAGUGACCUGGGGAUGAGACUCAGGGCUCCUGGAUCUGCUGAUCUCCCAUAUCCCUCCCUUCACUUCCUCCAGGCCAAGCACACAAUCCCAGAGGAAGACCUCACCCAGGCUGGUGCAGGACCCUGAGAACAUAGCCCUGACAAGAAACCCUUGAGUGUGGUCAUCUUCAUCCUCAGCAUCUUUGUUGUGUUUUUCUUCUAGUCUGAGUAGAUCCCUGUGAUUGAGCAGGUGGUUGCUUGAGGCUGGGAAGCCAACAUUUAACUGAUACUAAUCCACCCAAAGGGCACCGUAGUUCUGUGUAUUUGUCUCACUCAGAAUCCCUGAUUCUUUUUUUUUUUUUUUUUUUUUUAGUUUUUUUUUUUAAGUAAUCUCUACACCCAACAAAGGGCUGGAACUCACAACCUUGAGAUCAAGAGUCGUGUGCUCUACAGACUGAGCCAGCCAGGGUCCCCCUGAUUCUUCUGAUAAUAAAGAAUGACAUUGCAUGUUGUGUCA
rnacentral:lncRNA from 1 species